rnacentral:lncRNA from 1 species
AGACAGGUGAAACUGGCCAGGCACGGUGGUUCAUGCCUGUAAUCCCAGCACCUCAGCCUUGGGAGGCUGAGGCAGGCGGAUCACCUGAGGUCAGGAGUUCAAGACCAGCCCCGCCAACAUGGUGAAACCCCGUCUCUACUAAAAAUACAAAAAUUUUUAUAUGUUUUGUAUUUUUAGUAGAGGUGAGCAUGGUGGUGGGUGCCUAUAAUCCCAGCUCAGGCAGGAGAAUCGCUUGAACCCGGAAGGUGGAGGUUGCAGUAAGCCGAGAUCGGGCCAUUGCACUCCAGCCUGGGUGACAAGAGUGAAACUCAGUCUCAAAGAAAAAAAAGAGAGAUAGGCAAAACUAAUCCAUGGUGACAGAAAUCAGCAAUGGUG